rnacentral:lncRNA from 1 species
CUAGGCUUAAAAUAGUAAUGACCAUCUACUCAGACUAGGACUGACAAAAAGAAAAAGAAAGGGAAAAAAAAAUGAGUGAGCUGUCUUUUAAAUUCAAUAAAGAAUAAUAUAGAAAGAACUUUAUUUGCAUGGCAUGCAGUUCUAUAGGGACACAUGGGAUCGUAUACUAUAUUCUGGCUGUAAGUGCAGAAUUUUCCUCCUGCACAGAUUCAGGGCCUGUUAGCCUGUCCAUCUGCCCUUUUACAAGAGAAAUACUCUGUUAGUAUUUAAAUGAAGGUCAAGAAGAGACAAGUAAAGAAACAGAUGCAGCGUUAAGGCAUGGUGUAUCAAUGAAGGUACAGCCCUGCUUUCAUUUAUGCCAGCUGCAUAAUGGCCAGAGAACUGAAAAUGCAUCCAGAGGUUGACAUGACAGAAGGACAACAUGGACUGGACAUAUCAGCUACAAUUUUGGAAGCAAGAGGCAGAACAUUACACAGAUCUUUCUAAAACUGCAGCUGUCAAACUGGUUCAUCGGAAUGAGGCAUGGAACAAUGAAAAGCUUCACAGCCCAGGGUGCUUGGUGACAAACAGUGCUUUGGUGAAAGCCUUCCACUUUUUCACAGCCUUCAUGGCCAGAAAGACUUUUGACCUCAGAAGCACUCUCAAAAGGAACAUUUAUCCAGAGAAUGAAUGCAGGGGAAAGUUAUCUGAGCCACUCAGCAAGUGAUCCAUCACUUGGGACCAUUUCUCCCACAUUCACUGUGGAGCUUCAGGAGAACUUUUCAGUGGAAACCUUCUGCCUCCAUUAAUCAGAAUCAAUCAUUUCAUUAAUGAACAUACAGAUUUUAGGAGAUGUUUUAUUUUUAGAGUAAUCCAAGUAUUUAAUUAGUUUAGCUUUAAGCUUCAUUUUAGGAUAUUAAGGGAUAGAUCUGAAAAGCAGCUCAGAAGCACUGGUCAAACCCAGAGUUACGGGGAAUAUAUGCUUGCAUAUUUGCUGCACGUUUCACCAAAAUAAAUGGUGUCUUUUCAGAAAGUCUCCA